UACGUAGGCAGCGAGCGUUGUUCGGAAUUACUGGGCGUAAAGAGUGUGUAGGCGGUGCUCUAAGUUCGGUGUGAAAUCUCCUGGCUCAACUGGGAGGGUGCGCCGGAAACUGGAGUGCUUGAGUGCGGGAGAGGAAAGUGGAAUUCCUGGUGUAGCGGUGAAAUGCGUAGAUAUCAGGAGGAACACCGGUGGUGUAGACGGCUUUCUGGACCGUAACUGACGCUGAGACACGAAAGCGUGGGUAGCAAACAGG
rnacentral:rRNA from 1 species